UCCCUGAUGCUCCAGUGGCUAAGACUCCGUGUUCCCAAUGCCAGGGGCCCAGGUUCAAUUCCUGGUCAGGGAG
rnacentral:tRNA from 1 species